UGCCGGUAUUCAAAUGGCAACCGGCUCAACUGUCAAUGUGAGCGCGAGGCUCAACUGUAAGGCAGAGAUAAAAUUCCAACAGUUAAAAGCUGUUAAGAUUGGUCAUGUGAAGGACAGCCUCUGGAAUUUUUUUAAUGUUCAAAGAAGUAGAAAGCAUGAAGCAAUAUUGACAAUGUAUUCAUCAGCAGGAAAAGAACUGGCCAUGGAAGGAAGUAGACAUUGCCCCCAAAAUAUAAGAAAUGUCUGCCUACAAUGAAAUGAAGCACAGAAGAUGAAGCAAUCUUGAGCCACCAGAUGUUAGACAACACUAGCUGAAAUAGAUGGGUGGAGAUUACUUACUUAAUGGACUAUUAAAUGAGAAAUUCCUGUAUUGCUGCACUGCAUACACUGUAGAUUUGGACUACAUAUUCUCCAAGAUCCAUUCUAAUUUAUGGAAUAUCAGUGAUCGCUUUGGCACUUUACUUCUCAUGAGGAAACUAGCAAUAAGACGGACCUUCUUUUGAAUAAUGUGAAGGGGGACAGCAUAAUGAAUAGAACAUCCUAAUGUAGAAUGGUGCAGUUGGGGGACCGUAGAUGAAGAAUGGAAAGUGAAGGCCAUAACAACAUCUGUAUACACAAGAGAGCCCCAUUAAAGUAGGACAUGGCUCCAGGAUUUCACUCUACAUUUUCAAAAAUAAUAUUUAUACCACAAAGAUUAAAAUCCCUGUGC